rnacentral:rRNA from 1 species
UACAGAGGUCUCAAGCGUUGUUCGGAAUCACUGGGCGUAAAGGGCGCGUAGGCGGCCGAUCAAGUCGGGGGUGAAAGCCUGUGGCUCAACCACAGAAUUGCCUUCGAUACUGUUUGGCUUGAGACCGGAAGAGGUAAGUGGAACUGCGAGUGUAGAGGUGAAAUUCGUAGAUAUUCGCAAGAACACCAGUGGCGAAGGCGGCUUACUGGUCCGGUUCUGACGCUGAGGCGCGAAAGCGUGGGGAGCAAACAGG